AGCAAACCCUGAGGCAGCCAAGGAAGAGGAUGAUGGCACGCUGCGUACGCUUGUUCCUGUUCCUGCUUCUCGUCUCACUCGCCGUCGUCGCCGCUCCGGCGUUGGCUGCCAGAAACUUGGCUCACACUGUUCACCCAAAGGACGCAAUGAAUCAAACUUCGGACGAUCAAAAUUAUCCCUACAAACAACCGCCAGUAUGUGGUAGUCCCUAUGGAUAUAAUGGAGAUUACUGUCCCCCCUGACAAGGAAACAAUUUAGGUGUGCCAGAUACUACGACUGCCGAGGUUCCUCCCUCCCAACCCUUUUAAGAAGACUGCUGUGGCAUAUGGGAUUAUUAGAUAAAGAGGAUGAAUAACUUUUCAUCUUAAUUUCCCACUUCUCUUUUCACGGAAAC